GCCCUAGUAGCUUAACGCCUAAAGCACCGGUUUUGUGAUCCGAAGAUUGAGGAUUAAAUUUCCUCCUAGCGCU
rnacentral:tRNA from 1 species